AUUGAACGCUGGCGGCAUGCCUUACACAUGCAAGUCGAACGGUAACAGGUCUUCGGAUGCUGACGAGUGGCGAACGGGUGAGUAAUACAUCGGAACGUGCCUAGUAGUGGGGGAUAACUACUCGAAAGAGUGGCUAAUACCGCAUGAGAUCUACGGAUGAAAGCAGGGGAUCGCAAGACCUUGGGCUACUAGAGCGGCCGAUGGCAGAUUAGGUAGUUGGGGGGAUAAAAGCUUACCAAGCCGACGAUCUGUAGCUGGUCUGAGAGGACGAUCAGCCACACUGGGACUGAGACACGGCCCAGACUCCUACGGGAGGCAGCAGUGGGGAAUUUUGGACAAUGGGCGCAAGCCUGAUCCAGCAAUGCCGCGUGCAGGUUGAAGGCCUUCGGGUUGUAAACUGCUUUUGUACGGAACGAAAAGCCCUGGGUUAAUACCCUGGGGUCAUGACGGUACCGUAAGAAUAAGCACCGGCUAACUACGUGCCAGCCGCCGCCGUAAUAC
rnacentral:rRNA from 1 species